UCUCGCUUUAUAGGUGCGUGUUCUAAGGCAUCCUGAUCUCGCUUCGAAAAGUAAUGAGCUUCCCUUUGAGUUAUCAUAAAUGGUUUCUUUCCUGAUUUCAUUUUUUCCUCUUAAGUAGUUACUCAUGGCAGGUUUCUUUUCCAUUGCCGCCACCAUGAGAUUAUUUCAGCUUCUCUGACUUUCCGCUUGACCUUUGUUGUUGUGUUGUCCACCCUACAGGCCGCAUACUUGCUGGUAAGCUUCCUAGUCCUUUUCCUCCACUGUGAAUCAAUGUUUUUCCUGUACAGAUACCUGAACACUCUCCCAGCCCAUUUACUUUCUUCCAUAUACCUCAGCCGUUCUUCAUACUCAAUUUUACUGUGAGCUUCCCUCACUUCAAAACUAGUCCAGCCCAUAUCACCCUGCACAGCUUCAUUUGUAGUCUUCCCGUGAGCGCCCAAUGCAAGGCGACCCACUGACCUUUGGUUCCCGUCGAGUCCUGAUUGUACCCCUGAUUUAUAGCAAACAACCGCAUUUCCAAAAGUAAGUCCUGGAACCAUUACACCUUUCCACAUACCUCGGAGGACCUCGUACCUAUUGUAUCCCCAUAGCGCUCUGUGCUUCAUUAUGGUUGCAUUUCUCUUCCCCUUUACUGUUAUGGUUUUUUCCUGUGUUUCCAUAUAUCCAUUGCCUUCGUUUAUCCAUAUACCAAGGCAUUUAUAUUCUGUUACCCGAGGUAUUUCUUGGCCCUGUAUCUCCACUGUCUGUUCACUGUUUUCAUUGAAUACCAUAACACCUGAUUUUCUAACACUAAACUUCAAACCUAAAUCGUUGCCUUCCUGUCCACAGAUAUUAGCCAGACGUUGCAGAUCACUUUGCUUGUUAGCUAGCAACAUAAUGUCGUCCGCAUAAAACGUCCGGGCUUUCUCCUAAGCGCCACCUCUUGGCUACUCCCGAAGUUAACUUCCAGCGGCGGCGGUGGAACCACGAUCGACGAACGAGCGCUCCGAGCCAGCCGCGACAAACAGCGCUGGUGCUUUAUGUGCAUCCACGUGCUCGUGUGCAUCCACGGUGAAAAAUGAAUUUGAACCGACAGAACAUGAUGGAGCAAUUUCUAGAGACUGUUCGCUUGUUCCCUUUUCUAUAUGGUAAAACUCACCCGGAGUAUAAAGAUAGGGACGCCAAAAUGAACCGGUGGGCGAUCAUCGGCAGAACAUACGAUCUGACUGGUGAGUUGUUUUCAUUCUUUAUCUGAGCUUCCGCUUAAUGUUCACGUCGGCAGGAAUGUGCGGGGGUGAGCACACUUGUUUAGAGUGCUUUAGCGGUGUGCUGCGGAGCAAAUGAGAUGGAAUCUCGGUUUCCUACGGGCAUUUUGCCUGAGCGGUUCGCAUAUCAUAUCAGGCUGCGCGCUUCGUACAGCGCCGCUUGAGCGCUCAAGUUGCUCAUCUUUUCAUUUUGCAACCUUUCUUGGUGAUAAACAGUGGCAUUUCUGCAGGACCGCAAGCAGCCGCAAAAUUUAAAGAUGUGAAAGAUCGGUGGCUCAAAAUUGUGUCGGCGUCGGAGGGGGCCCGGAAAAGUGGCGCCGGAGGAGAGGUCGGAAAGGUCCACACGAAGUGGACACUUUUUGACAUCGUGGAUGGCAUGCUCGGGCACACACAACAUUAUGCGGAAAGGUCUUCAUCAAAUGUGCCCCCAGAAGAGGACGUCUCCAUUCUGCCAUCUCCACUGUCAUCCAACAGCCCUUCCAGUCCGAGUCUGGUGGCCAGGUGUGCACCUCAUUGUUUGCUGACCAUAACGGUUACUGCGGUGAAACAGUUUAUGUACAACAUUGUCAUUUCAUUCACCUGUGCGGCUGUAUAUCAAGCCCGGCUGCUACGCUUUUUCAAGAAAUGUACUCUGACAGCCGCAAUGACUUUACUGAUGAAGACGAUUUGAG